UUACGGGAGGCAGCAGUAAGGAAUAUUGGUCAAUGGACGAAAGUCUGAACCAGCCAUGCCGCGUGAAGGAUGAAGGCCCUCUGGGUUGUAAACUUCUUUUAUAGGGGACGAAAAAAGCUCAUUCUUGAGCACUUGACGGUACCCUAGGAAUAAGCACCGGCUAACUCCGUGCCAGCAGCCGCGGUAAUACGGAGGGUGCAAGCGUUAUCCGGAUUUACUGGGUUUAAAGGGUGCGUAGGUGGGCAGUUAAGUCAGCGGUGAAAUCUCCGGGCUUAACCCGGAAACUGCCAUUGAUACUAUCUGUCUUGAAUAUCCUGGAGGUGAGCGGAAUAUGUCAUGUAGCGGUGAAAUGCUUAGAUAUGACAUAGAACACCAAUUGCGAAGGCAGCUCGCUACGGGAUUAUUGACACUGAGGCACGAAAGCGUGGGGAUCAAACAGGAUUAGAUACCCCGGUAGUCCU
rnacentral:rRNA from 1 species